CUCACUUCCCGCUCCGCCCUGCGUGGGAGGUCAUCUUUCUUGGGACCCUUUCUGUCUUCAUGAGC
rnacentral:lncRNA from 1 species